rnacentral:rRNA from 1 species
GACGAACGCUGGCGGCGUGCUUAACACAUGCAAGUCGAACGGAAAGGCCCUGCUUUUGUGGGGUGCUCGAGUGGCGAACGGGUGAGUAACACGUGAGUAACCUGCCCUUGACUUUGGGAUACUUCAGGAAACUGGGGCUAAUACCGGAUAGGAGCUCCUGCUGCAUGGUGGGGGUUGGAAAGUUUCGGCGGUUGGGGAUGGACUCGCGGCUUAUCAGCUUGUUGGUGGGGUAGUGGCUUACCAAGGCUUUGACGGGUAGCCGGCCUGAGAGGGUGACCGGCCACAUUGGGACUGAGAUACGGCCCAGACUCCUACGGGAGGCAGCAGUGGGGAAUAUUGCACAAUGGGCGGAAGCCUGAUGCAGCAACGCCGCGUGCGGGAUGACGGCCUUCGGGUUGUAAACCGCUUUCGCCUGUGACGAAGCGUGAGUGACGGUAAUGGGUAAAGAAGCACCGGCUAACUACG